rnacentral:rRNA from 1 species
UACGUAGGGGGCAAGCGUUGUCCGGAAUUAUUGGGCGUAAAGAGCUCGUAGGCGGUCUGUCGCGUCGGAUGUGAAAAUCCAGGGCUCAACCCUGGACCUGCAUUCGAUACGGGCAGACUAGAGUUCGGUAGGGGAGACUGGAAUUCCUGGUGUAGCGGUGAAAUGCGCAGAUAUCAGGAGGAACACCGGUGGCGAAGGCGGAUCUCUGGGCCUUACCUGACGCUGAGGAGCGAAAGCAUGGGGAGCAAACAGG